rnacentral:lncRNA from 1 species
CUAGUGGUUAAGCUCGGCACGCUCCACUUUGGCGACCCAGGUUUGGUUCCUGGGCAUGGACCCGUCUGUCAGUGGUUGUGCUGUUGUGGCAGCUCAUAUACAAAAAGAGGAAGAUUAGCAGUGGAUGUUAACUCAGGGCAAAUCUUCCUCAGCAAAAAAAAGAAAAAGGACCCAAGAGAACAACACGUAAAUACAAAUAUCCUUUUCUAUAGGAAUGUUCUAGAAUCACCUGGGCCUGUGAGUGAAAAGAUUGCUGCCCUGGCAGGCAGUUCCCAGGUGAUGCUGCUGCUCCGGGGACCACACUUUGAGAACCACCGAACCAGAGGAUUGCAAUUUUCUCACAUUUCAAGCUCAGCUGGCUCAGGAGAUUUCUGCUGGAAUAGUUCUACCCGGUGUAUAGCAGGACAGUGCUGGGACACUGACCACAGGACCUACCUCUCCGCCAGACAGAGAGCCCACAGCCCAGGCGCUGUCCUGCCUCUUCCCCACCAGGACUGCCUCCCCCUGCAGCUCCCGCCUCUCUCAUUCCCAACGCACUUUUCAGGCUGAGGCCUUUCUGAGGUGUGCCCAUCAAAGUCCAAGCAGAAAGGAGAUGCUCGCUUGUUGAGGAAAGCCACAGUAUUUGCCUCAACUAUGAUGUGAGUAUUAAAAAGUAUACUAAGUACCAAG